ACGGGUGAGUAACACGUGACUAACCUACCCUUGAGUGGGGAAUAACCUAGGGAAACCUGGGCUAAUACCGCAUAACACCUACGGGUCAAAGGAGCAAUUCGCUUAAGGAGGGGGUCGCGGCAGAUUAGCUAGUUGGCGGGGUAAUGGCCCACCAAGGCAGUGAUCUGUAUCCGGCCUGAGAGGGCGCACGGACACACUGGAACUGAAACACGGUCCAGACUCCUACGGGAGGCAGCAGUGGGGAAUUUUGCGCAAUGGGGGAAACCCUGACGCAGCAACGCCGCGUGGAGGAUGAAGUCCCUUGGGACGUAAACUCCUUUCGACCGGGAAGAUUAUGACGGUACCGGAAGAAGAAGCCCCGGCUAACUUCGUGCCAGCAGCCGCGG
rnacentral:rRNA from 1 species